AACGCGAAGAACCUUACCGGGGCUUGACAUCGGACGCUCAUCUAUGAAAGUAGGUUUCCCCGCAAGGGGACGUCCAGACAGGUGCUGCAUGGCUGUCGUCAGCUCGUGCCGUGAGGUGUUGGGUUAAGUCCCGCAACGAGCGCAACCCUCGUCGUGUGUUGGUCCGCAAGGAUCUCUCACACGAGACCGCCGGUGAGAAGCCGGAGGAAGGUGGGGAUGACGUCAAGUCAGCAUGGCCCUUACGUCCCGGGCUACACACGUGCUACAAUGCGCCGAACAACGAGUCGCAAGCUCGCGAGAGCAAGCCAAUCUCUUAAAUCGGCGCCCAGUUCGGAUUGAAGGCUGCAACUCGCCUUCAUGAAGUCGGAAUCGCUAGUAACCGCAGAUCAGCUACGCUGCGGUGAAUACGUUCCCGGGCCUUGUACACACCGCAUAC
rnacentral:rRNA from 1 species